rnacentral:lncRNA from 1 species
GUCCUGAACUCUUGAGAUAAAAUAACACUCCCACUUUAGCCUCUCAAGCAGUUCUUUUUAAAGGUGGUGCUAAGGUUUCAAUCUAGUUAAUUCAGGACUCUUAACUGCUGUUAGGCCAAAGUAAAGAUGGAGAUUUGGCUGCUGUGAGAGUGUGGUCUUUUCAGUCAUGCUGCUUUUUGGGGGCAGAGGAGGCAGCAACAGGGCUAUGGGUGCACUGCUUCUCUCUGCAGUGGGUCAGGGAAGGCCUCAUAGCUGAACUGAUGUCUCAGGAGAGAAACAGUGUGUGACAAGUUAAAUUAGAGUAAUGACCUUGGGUUAGGGUUUGUUGGGAGCAAUGCUACAUAAUUCUAGGGAAAAAUCAUUUGGUUAGCCUAGUUCUCUUGCCUACAGCCCAGCUACAGAAUAACUCCAGUUUGGCCUCCGGUCACAACUGAGACUUCAGUGAUCCAGUGAUGCUGUGAUUCUCCAGGACAAGAAACAUCCUGGGAGAACAAACAUCUGCUCAGUUCCUUGUUGUUCUUAGACUGUUAACAUCUUGUUUACCCGAGAUGUACUGAACUCUCCAAGCCUUUUGUUACACCUUGUUUAUCCCAAUGUGAACUACUGAACUCUCUCCAAGUCAUUUGUUACAUUUGUUUCUCCCGAUGUACUGAAUAAAAGGUGCGGUAAUCAAAUCUCAAGAAAAUCAAUUUAAGUUAAAUGAGGUACUGAAUAAAAGGUGUGGUAAGCUGAGGGCUUUUGUCUUUGCUGCCCUGAGCAGCACGGAUCAGACCCAAAGCUCAGCUUCUUCUCAGUCUCAUUUGUCUACCUUUCCUGUAAUUCGCCGUGUGCUGCCGUGGCUCGCAGGAGACCAGGACUCACUGCAGAGGUUCUGGUAACGUCCCCUUCCCCUGUUCCCUACAAGGAGUCCACAGCAGGAAGUAGAAAAAUGGAAGUGAGAUGCCUUGUG